GGCUGGUCCGACGGUAGUGGGUCAUCAGAACUUAUUAACAUUGGUGUCACUAAAGUUGGUAUACAACCCCCCACUGCUAAAUUUGACUGGCUUUUA
ensembl:Y_RNA Y_RNA Y RNA